UCUUGUGUGACUCUCACAACAUUUCUGUGAAGCAAGAGGAGAAGGUUCCUUUGUGUUUCACAUGCCCUGCCUGCCUCUCAGGCUCAUCUAGGAAAAAAAAUCACUGGAGACCCAAGAAGCAGAGCAAGUGCAGCCCCAACUUUCCGGGACUGAAAGAAAACAGGAGUGCUUUAAGAACCAAGUAGCUGGUCCAGUUCUGGGUAAAUAUAUGUGCAAAGGAAGACUCAUAAAUACUGGGAUAUGUAGUAACUUAAGUAACAGGGAUUCCUCAGGGGCUGAUUUGCUGCAUUCCAUCUUGGAGGACCAAGAAGACAUUUCCACCUGCCACAGUCUCCUGAAGGCUCAGGUUUCUUAAGAUAAAUAGAAACCAAAAAGAAGAGUAUCCAAGCUUUAGCCAUGGAGGGAAGAGAUGAUAGUCCAGCAAGUGUAUUUACAAAGCAGUUCCUCUCUCUGGGACUGGUUGGGAAUCUUAAAUGAAGUCUCUUCAUUUGUAUUUUCCAUCCUUGCUCUUUUUAUGUAUUUUUCUUUGUAGUAAUGACCCAGUCCCUUCUCAUACCAUUGCUGCCGACUGGAAACAAUAAUGAUACUAAUGCCA